UGCAGUCGAGCGCACCUUCGGGUGAGCGGCGGACGGGUUAGUAACGCGUGGGAACAUACCCUUUGGUACGGAAUAGCCUCUGGAAACGGAGAGUAAUACCGUAUGAGCCCUUCGGGGGAAAGAUUUAUCGCCAAAGGAUUGGCCCGCGUUAGAUUAGGUAGUUGGUGGGGUAAUGGCCUACCAAGCCUACGAUCUAUAGCUGGUUUUAGAGGAUGAUCAGCAACACUGGGACUGAGACACGGCCCAGACUCCUACGGGAGGCAGCAGUGGGGAAUCUUGGACAAUGGGGGCAACCCUGAUCCAGCCAUGCCGCGUGAGUGAUGAAGGCCUUAGGGUCGUAAAGCUCUUUCGCCUGUGAAGAUAAUGACGGUAGCAGGUAAAGAAACCCCGGCUAACUCCGUGCCAGCAGCCGCGGUAAUACGGAGGGGGUUAGCGUUGUUCGGAAUUACUGGGCGUAAAGCGCACGUAGGCGGACUGGAAAGUUGGGGGUGAAAUCCCAGGGCUCAACCCUGGAACUGCCUCCAAAACUAUCAGUCUAGAGUUCGAGAGAGGUGAGUGGAAUUCCGAGUGUAGAGGUGAAAUUCGUAGAUAUUCGGAGGAACACCAGUGGCGAAGGCGGCUCACUGGCUCGAUACUGACGCUGAGGUGCGAAAGUGUGGGGAGCAAACAGGAUUAGAUACCCUGGUAGUCCACACCGUAAACGAUGAAUGCCAGUCGUCGGGUAGCAUGCUAUUCGGUGACAC
rnacentral:rRNA from 1 species